UGGCUCUGGCAACGAUGAAGAACGCAGCGAAAUGCGAUAAGUAAUGCGAAUUGCAGAAUCAGUGAAUCAUCGAGUUUUUGAACGCACAUUGCGCCUCCUGGUAUUCCGGGAGGCACGCCUGUUCGAGCGCCAUUUCAACCUCCAAGCACGGCUUGAUGUUGGACGACGUCCGGUUCGGACGCGUCUGAAACGUGUCGGCGCCCGGCGGCGACCACGAGCGUAGCAAAAUGCCGUCCGCUCUGUGGUUCGUCUCCGCGCAGCCCAGCAUCUUUUUAUUUCUAAAAGGUUGGCCUCGGAUCAGGUGGGGAUACCCGCUGA
rnacentral:misc_RNA from 1 species